UGGGGAAUUUUGGACAAUGGGCGAAAGCCUGAUCCAGCAAUGCCGCGUGUGUGAAGAAGGCCUUCGGGUUGUAAAGCACUUUUGUCCGGAAAGAAAUCCUUGGCUCUAAUACAGUCGGGGGAUGACGGUACCGGAAGAAUAAGCACCGGCUAACUACGUGCCAGCAGCCGCGGUAAUACGUAGGGUGCAAGCGUUAAUCGGAAUUACUGGGCGUAAAGCGUGCGCAGGCGGUUUGCUAAGACCGAUGUGAAAUCCCCGGGCUCAACCUGGGAACUGCAUUGGUGACUGGCAGGCUAGAGUAUGGCAGAGGGGGGUAGAAUUCCACGUGUANCAGUGAAAUGCGUAGAGAUGUGGAGGAAUACCGAUGGCGAAGGCAGCCCCCUGGGCCAAUACUGACGCUCAUGCACGAAAGCGUGGGGAGCAAAACAGGAUUAGAUACCCUGGUAGUCCACGCCCUAAACGAUGUCAACUAGUUGUUGGGGAUUCAUUUCUUAGUAACGUAGCUAACGCGUGAAGUUGACCGCCUGGGGAGUACGGUCGCAAGAUUAAAACUUAAAGGAAUUGACGGGGUCAUAGCUGUUUCCU
rnacentral:rRNA from 1 species